rnacentral:rRNA from 1 species
AUACGUAGGGAGCGAGCGUUGUCCGGAAUUACUGGGUGUAAAGGGAGCGUAGGCGGGAGUGCAAGUCGGAUGUGAAAUACAUGGGCUCAACCCAUGGGCUGCAUUUGAAACCGCAUUUCUUGAGUGAAGUAGAGGUAAGCGGAAUUCCUGGUGUAGCGGUGAAAUGCGUAGAUAUCAGGAGGAACACCGGUGGCGAAGGCGGCUUACUGGGCUUUUACUGACGCUGAGGCGCGAAAGCGUGGGGAGCAAACAGGAUUAGAUACCCUGGUAGUCCACGCUGUAAACGAUGAAUACUAGGUGUGGGGGGACUGACCCCCUCCGUGCCGCAGUUAACACAAUAAGUAUUCCACCUGGGGAGUACGAUCGCAAGAUUGAAACUCAAAUGAAUUGACGGGG